rnacentral:rRNA from 1 species
GUGGAUUAGAUACCCUAGUAGUCCACGCCCUAAACGAUGUCAACUGGUUGUUGGUGGGGUUAAACCCAUUAGUAACGAAGCUAACGCGUGAAGUUGACCGCCUGGGGAGUACGGCCGCAAGGUUAAAACUCAAAGGAAUUGACGGGGACCCGCACAAGCGGUGGAUGAUGUGGAUCAAUUCGAUGCAACGCGAAGAACCUUACCUACCCUUGACAUGCCAGGGAGCCGGAUGAGAGUUCGGUGUGCCCGAAAGGGAACCUGGACACAGGUGCUGCACGGCCGUCGUCAGCU